rnacentral:rRNA from 1 species
GAUGAACGCUAGCGGCAGGCCUAAUACAUGCAAGUCGAGGGGUAACAGGUUCUUCGGAAUGCUGACGACCGGCGCACGGGUGCGUAACGCGUAUGCAACCUACCCAUAACAGGAGGAUAGCCCGAAGAAAUUCGGAUUAAUACUCCAUAGUAUAGUUUGAUGGCAUCUGAAGACUAUUAAAGAUUUAUCGGUUAUGGAUGGGCAUGCGUCUGAUUAGUUAGUUGGUGAGGUAACGGCUCACCAAGACAAUGAUCAGUAGGGGGUCUGAGAGGAUGAUCCCCCACACUGGCACUGAGAUACGGGCCAGACUCCUACGGGAGGCAGCAGUAGGGAAUAUUGGUCAAUGGGCGAGAGCCUGAACCAGCCAUGCCGCGUGGAGGAAGACGGCUUUCUGAGUUGUAAACUCCUUUUAUAUGGGAAGAAAAAGGUGCCUGCGGGGACAAACUGCCGGUACCAUAUGAAUAAGCA